UCUAAAUAAAAUAGCAUUUUGAACACACCAGUUCCAAUGGAUCACCGAAGUUAAGCAACGUUGCUCGUUGUUGGUAUCCGGAUGGGUGUUCUUCUGGGUCAAUCGUGUGCUGCUAGCU
rnacentral:rRNA from 1 species